rnacentral:rRNA from 1 species
CCUACGGGAGGCAGCAGUGGGGAAUAUUGGACAAUGGGGGGAACCCUGAUCCAGCCAUGCCGCGUGUGUGAAGAAGGCCCUCGGGUUGUAAAGCACUUUCAGUGAGGAAGAACGCCUGGUGGUUAAUACCCAUCAGGAAAGACAUCACUCACAGAAGAAGCACCGGCUAACUCCGUGCCAGCAGCCGCAGUAAUACGGAGGGUGCGAGCGUUAAUCGGAAUUACUGGGCGUAAAGCGCGCGUAGGUGGCUUGAUAAGCCGGUUGUGAAAGCCCCGGGCUCAACCUGGGAACGGCAUCCGGAACUGUCAAGCUAGAGUGCAGGAGAGGAAGGUAGAAUUCCCGGUGUAGCGGUGAAAUGCGUAGAGAUCGGGAGGAAUACCAGUGGCGAAGGCGGCCUUCUGGACUGACACUGACACUGAGGUGCGAAAGCGUGGGUAGCAAACAGGAUUAGAUACCCGAGUAGUC